rnacentral:rRNA from 1 species
UACGUAGGGACCAAGCGUUGUUCGGAUUUACUGGGCGUAAAGGGCGCGUAGGCGGCGCGGUAAGUCACUUGUGAAAUCUCUGAGCUUAACUCAGAACGGCCAAGUGAUACUGCAGUGCUAGAGUGUGGAAGGGGCAAUCGGAAUUCUUGGUGUAGCGGUGGAAUGCGCAGAUAUCAGGAGGAACACCGAUGGCGAAGGCAGCUCGCUGGGACGGUACUGACGCUGAGGCGCGAAAGCGUGGGGAGCGAACAGG